GACGAACGCUGGCGGCGUGCUUAACACAUGCAAGUCGAACGGAAAGGCCCUGCUUUUGUGGGGUGCUCGAGUGGCGAACGGGUGAGUAACACGUGAGUAACCUGCCCUUGACUUUGGGAUAACUUCAGGAAACUGGGGCUAAUACCGGAUAGGAGCUCCUGCUGCAUGGUGGGGGUUGGAAAGUUUCGGCGGUUGGGGAUGGACUCGCGGCUUAUCAGCUUGUUGGUGGGGUAGUGGCUUACCAAGGCUUUGACGGGUAGCCGGCCUGAGAGGGUGACCGGCCACCUUGGGACUGAGAUACGGCCCAGACUCCUACGGGACGCAGCAGUGGGGAAUAUUGCACAAUGGGCGGAAGCCUGAUGCAGCAACGCCGCGUGCGGGAUGACGGCCUUCGGGUUGUAAACCGCUUUCGCCUGUGACGAAGCGUGAGUGACGGUAAUGGGUAAAGAAGCACCGGCUAACUACGUG
rnacentral:rRNA from 1 species